GACGAACGCUGGCGGCGUGUUUAACACAUGCAAGUCGAGCGGUAAGGCCCUUUCGGGGGUACACGAGCGGCGAACGGGUGAGUAACACGUGGGUGACCUGCCCUCAGCUCUGGGAUAAGCCUGGGAAACCGGGUCUAAUACUGGAUAUGACUCCAUGACGCAUGUUGUGGGGUGGAAAGCCUUGUGCGGCUGAGGAUGGGCCCGCGGCCUAUCAGCUUGUUGGUGGGGUGANGGCCUACCAAGGCGACGACGGGUAGCCGGCCUGAGAGGGCGACCGGCCACACUGGGACUGAGACACGGCCCAGACUCCUACGGGAGGCAGCAGUGGGGAAUCUUGCGCAAUGGGCGAAAGCCUGACGCAGCGACGCCGCGUGAGGGAUGACGGCCUCGGUU
rnacentral:rRNA from 1 species